AUUGAACGCUGGCGGCGGGCCUAACACAUGCAAGUCGAGCGGAUGAAGGGAGCUUGCUCCUGGAUUCAGCGGCGGACGGGUGAGUAAUGCCUAGGAAUCUGCCUGGUAGCGGGGGAUAACGUCCGGAAACGGGCGCUAAUACCGCAUACGUCCUGAGGGAGUAAGUGGGGGAUCUUCGGACCUCACGCUAUCAGAUGAGCCUAGGUCGGAUUAGCUAGUUGGUGGGGUAAAGGCCUACCAAGGCGACGAUCCGUAACUGGUCUGAGAGGAUGAUCAGUCACACUGGAACUGAGACACGGUCCAGACUCCUACGGGAGGCAGCAGUGGGGAAUAUUGGACAAUGGGCGAAAGCCUGAUCCAGCCAUGCCGCGUGUGUGAAGAAGGUCUUCGGAUUGUAAAGCACUUUAAGUUGGGAGGAAGGGCAGUAAGUUAAUACCUUGCUGUUUUGACGUUACCAACAGAAUAAGCACCGGCUAACUUCGUG
rnacentral:rRNA from 1 species